rnacentral:lncRNA from 1 species
GGGUGAAGAGGCCCGGCUUGCAGCUGGUCACCAGUGGGCAGGUGCAGAGGCAAAAGAAGAGCUGAGCCAGCUGGAGCUGGGUUUGAGUCCUGGCCCCGUCGCCUCCCAGCUGUGGCCACAGGAAGGUCCUGGAGGAGCACUCAAGCCCUGACUCCCUCCCCCGAAGGCCCGUGAGGGGUGGGCAGCCCUCGGGACAUCCAGGUGGCAGCACGUGAGCGAGGCCUGGGGCAGACCCAGGUCAGGGAGGGGACAAGUGCCUUCCUCAGGGCCCAAGUGACAAGUCCACCUCCUCUCUCAGUGGGCAGAAGGGCUGAGCAGCUGCCCGGGCCAGGCCAGAAGAGGGGCAGCCGGAGCCCAGAGUCCCCUGAGUGGGGCAGGGGGGCUGAGAAUGGGGCCCGGAGGCCUCAGCUGCAGCCCAGAGGGUGGGGCAGGGACAGGACAGGUUCCCAGAGGCAGUGGGAGUGGCAGGGGCAGGAGUCGGGGAUGGGGUGUAGCUGUGUGCAGGGACCCCUGUCCAUCCCCCCAGUCCAGGAGCCUGAUGGGUUUGGGGGCACCACCUAACAGUGGUCCUUGUGACCAUUGCUUUCACCCCUGCUUGUCCUUGACCUUCCUGCUGGAGGCUUAGUGCUUCUGUAUUUAAAUUCAUCCGUUUUCUCCUUUCUGGCUUCGGGGCUUUGAAGCUUGCUCACGGAAGUCUUCUCUCCCCAAGACCAUGGAAAUCUUCCCUCCGAGUGGUUACGGGCCUCCUCUCUAGGCUCCGCUCCUCUCCGUUCUGUCCAUUGACCGUUUUUGUUUGUUCCUGGCCCAAUACCUGCGGUCAUUAUAUGUGUACUUAUUGUUCUUCACAGCCCUAGACCAGAAGCUCCGUGGGGACAGGGACUCUUGUCUGCUCUGUGCCAUGCUAUCACCCCAGCGCUUAGCAGGUGCCUGGCGCGUGGGAGGUACGCACUGCCUCCAUGUCGAAUGUGGCACCAGGAUGUGGGCCCAGAACUCCCAGACCCGAGACCGAGGGGUGCGUAGCAGAGAAAAGGUCCACCUCAUCUGUCCCACCCCUGCUCCCUCCCCGGAUGAUUCCCUCCCGUCCAGGAGCCUCUGCUCCACGUGGACAGCCCCCUGCUGCCUGGAAUCCCUUCUCUGCGCAGCCCACACACUCCCCGAGCUCUCCACUGCUCUCUCCUUCCUGAUGAGGGGCGGCUGGAAGAAUGCUGACAGAAUCCAUCCAAGGAAAUCUUGUCGGACGCCUGCGGCGCUUCGAGCUGGAUAUGGACAACGAUGGCUGUCACAAAUCGAAGCCAGAGGACAGGGCUGGCCACACCGCAGAGAGCCAGAGAUCAGAUCUGCUGGAUGGCUUUGUGCAAAUGCUGUCACCUCUCUGAGCCUCCGUGUUCUCAUCUGUCAGAAAGGAUUCAGAAUCUCUGCCUCGACAGCACCUCUGCGAGUGAGAGCAUGCAUUGAAAAGUUCAUAACACCGUCAACUUAAGAUGCAUGCUUUUAAUAAAUUCUGACUUAAAUUGAAUUAGCA